rnacentral:rRNA from 1 species
CUCGAAUCAGGUAGGAAUACCCGCUGAACUUAAGCAUAUC